GUAUUAUACAAACAGCUGUUUGCUUAACAGAAGAAACCAAACAAUAAGAGCCAAGUAACAACCAAGAAAACCAACAUCCUUCUAAGUGGACCUAAAAGGCCAAGUGAGCUUUUCUCAUCACUUGGCGUCCGUCAUCGUUAACUUUUACAAAAAUCUUCUCCUCUGAAACUACUGGGCCAAAUUUAACCAAACUUGGCCACAAUCAUCUUUUGUGUAUCCAGUUUAAAAAUUGUGUCUGAUGACCUGGCCAACAAACCAAGAUGAUCGCCAUGGCUAAAAAUAGAACAUAGGGGUAAAAUGUAGAUUUUGGCUUAUAACUCUGAAACCGAAGCAUUUAGAGUAAAUCUGACAUGGGG
rnacentral:lncRNA from 1 species